GGGGGUGUAGCUUAAUGGUAGAGCAUCUGCCUAGCAGGCAUAAAACCCUAGGUUCAGUCCCCAGCACUGCAA
rnacentral:tRNA from 1 species